rnacentral:misc_RNA from 1 species
AAAAUGCGAUACGUAGUGUGAAUUGCAGAUCUACGUGAAUCAUCAAAAUUUUGAACGCACAUUGCGCCGUCCGGUUUCCAGCCUGACGGCAUGCCUGUUCGAGUGUCACUUAUCUACUCAACUACCCCCUUUACCGGGUGUGCGAGUUGGAGAGUGAGCGUUUCGUUCGAACUUUUACCAGUUUGAACGCAUCGCUUCAAAUGUAGGGGCGCAACUCUUAGCGUGCAUCAAGCCGCCUCAUGAAACACAAUCACUUGUGAACACAACGUGGUUGCGUUUCUGGCUUGUUUUGCCAGUUGUACGCCGCGAACCGAGUGGCAGACAUCAAAUAGGGUACUUCACAGUCCCUUUUGAGCGUCGCAACUUUCUACAAUAUUUGACCUCGAAUCAGACAAGAUUA